rnacentral:rRNA from 1 species
GAUUGACCUCGGAUCAGGUAGGGAUACCCGCUGAACUUAAGCAUAUCAAUAAGCGGAGGAAAARGAAACCAACAGGGAUUGCCUCAGUAACGGCGAGUGAAGCGGCAACAGCUCAAAUUUGAAAUCUGGCUCCUUUGGGGGUCCGAGUUGUAAUUUGUAGAGGAUGCUUCGGGUAAGGCUGCGGUCUAAUUUGCUUGGAACAGCGAGUCAUAGAGGGUGAGAAUCCCGUCUAGGAUGGCGAGCCGCGCCCGUGUGAAGCUCCUUCGACGAGUCGAGUUGUUUGGGAAUGCAGCUCUAAAUGGGUGGUAAAUUUCAUCUAAAGCUAAAUAUUGGCCAGAGACCGAUAGCGCACAAGUAGAGUGAUCGAAAGAUGAAAAGCACUUUGAAAAGAGAGUUAAACAGUAUGUGAAAUUGUUGAAAGGGAAGCGCUUGCAAUCAGACUUGAGUGUAACGGUUCCCCCGGUCUCUUUUGACCGGGUCACUCCGUUAUAUCCAGGCCAACAUCGGUUCGAGGGGUCGGUUAAAGACCUCGGGAAUGUAUCUACCUUCGGGUCGACUUAUAGCCCGGGGUGUAAUGCGGCCUCCCCGGACCGAGGAACGCGCUUCGGCUCGGAUGUUGGCGUAAUGGUUGUAAGCGGCCCGUCUUGAAACACGGACCAAGGAGUCUAACAUCUAUGCGAGUGUUUGGGUGUUAAACCCCUACGCGUAAUGAAAGUGAACGGAGGUAAGAACCCCGUCAAACGGGUGCAUUAUCGACCGAUCCUGAUGUCUUCGGAUGGAUUUGAGUAAGAGCAUAGCUGUUGGGACCCGAAAGAUGGUGAACUAUGCCUGAAUAGGGUGAAGCCAGAGGAAACUCUGGUGGAGGCUCGCAGCGGUUCUGACGUGCAAAUCGAUCGUCAAAUUUGGGCAUAGGGGCGAAAGACUAAUCGAACCAUCAAAGGAAUAAAAAAUAAGGGCUAUCGGGUGGUUCUUUAACAGUCCUUCGGGGCUACAUCGUCCUUCUGGCGGGGAUCAAUACCCGCAGCAGUUUCGGCUGUCCACAGAUCUAGGAGACGGUGGUCAUCUUCACCAGGAAAGAUGAUGAUGAUAUAGUCGGUUUGGU